rnacentral:rRNA from 1 species
AAUGGGUCAGCGACUUAUAUUCUGUAGCAAGGUUAACCGAAUAGGGGAGCCGAAGGGAAACCGAGUCUUAACUGGGCGUUAAGUUGCAGGGUAUAGACCCGAAACCCGGUGAUCUAGCCAUGGGCAGGUUGAAGGUUGGGUAACACUAACUGGAGGACCGAACCGACUAAUGUUGAAAAAUUAGCGGAUGACUUGUGGCUGGGGGUGAAAGGCCAAUCAAACCGGGAGAUAGCUGGUUCUCCCCGAAAGCUAUUUAGGUAGCGCCUCGUGAAUUCAUCUCCGGGGGUAGAGCACUGUUUCGGCAAGGGGGUCAUCCCGACUUACCAACCCGAUGCAAACUGCGAAUACCGGAGAAUGUUAUCACGGGAGACACACGGCGGGUGCUAACGUCCGUCGUGAAGAGGGAAACAACCCAGACCGCCAGCUAAGGUCCCAAAGUCAUGGUUAAGUGGGAAACGAUGUGGGAAGGCCCAGACAGCCAGGAUGUUGGCUUAGAAGCAGCCAUCAUUUAAAGAAAGCGUAAUAGCUCACUGGUCGAGUCGGCCUGCGCGGAAGAUGUAACGGGGCUAAACCAUGCACCGAAGCUGCGGCAGCGACGCUUAUGCGUUGUUGGGUAGGGGAGCGUUCUGUAAGCCUGUGAAGGUGUGCUGUGAGGCAUGCUGGAGGUAUCAGAAGUGCGAAUGCUGACAUAAGUAACGAUAAAGCGGGUGAAAAGCCCGCUCGCCGGAAGACCAAGGGUUCCUGUCCAACGUUAAUCGGGGCAGGGUGAGUCGACCCCUAAGGCGAGGCCGAAAGGCGUAGUCGAUGGGAAACAGGUUAAUAUUCCUGUACUUGGUGUUACUGCGAAGGGGGGACGGAGAAGGCUAUGUUGGCCGGGCGACGGUUGUCCCGGUUUAAGCGUGUAGGCUGGUUUUCCAGGCAAAUCCGGAAAAUCAAGGCUGAGGCGUGAUGACGAGGCACUACGGUGCUGAAGCAACAAAUGCCCUGCUUCCAGGAAAAGCCUCUAAGCAUCAGGUAACAUCAAAUCGUACCCCAAACCGACACAGGUGGUCAGGUAGAGAAUACCAAGGCGCUUGAGAGAACUCGGGUGAAGGAACUAGGCAAAAUGGUGCCGUAACUUCGGGAGAAGGCACGCUGAUAUGUAGGUGAAGUCCCUCGCGGAUGGAGCUGAAAUCAGUCGAAGAUACCAGCUGGCUGCAACUGUUUAUUAAAAACACAGCACUGUGCAAACACGAAAGUGGACGUAUACGGUGUGACGCCUGCCCGGUGC